AAUCCAUAGGUUAAUGAGGCGAACCGGGGGAACUGAAACAUCUAAGUACCCCGAGGAAAAGAAAUCAACCGAGAUUCCCCCAGUAGCGGCGAGCGAACGGGGAGGAGCCCAGAGCCUGAAUCAGCAUGUGUGUUAGUGGAAGCGUCUGGAAAGGCGCGCGAUACAGGGUGACAGCCCCGUACACAAAAGCGCAUGUGCUGUGAGCUCGAUGAGUAGGGCGGGACACGUGGUAUCCUGUCUGAAUAUGGGGGGACCAUCCUCCAAGGCUAAAUACUCCUGACUGACCGAUAGUGAACCAGUACCGUGAGGGAAAGGCGAAAAGAACCCCGGCGAGGGGAGUGAAAAAGAACCUGAAACCGUGUACGUACAAGCAGUGGGAGCCCCACCACCAAAGCAUUCUCUGGUGUUGAAGGCCCUGCAAAGCAGCAUCGCGGUGGCGGAGCGUCGUUUGCGACGCCCAACACACAAAACAAGCGGUGAGUGCUUUGGGGUGGGGUGACUGCGUACCUUUUGUAUAAUGGGUCAGCGACUUAUAUUCUGUAGCAAGGUUAACCG
rnacentral:rRNA from 1 species